UGAAAAGUCAAAGUGUUUGCUGUGAAAAAGGUUAAUUCAUUAGAUUUUUAAUUUUUUUAUUGUAUCAAAACACCAUCCAAUCAGUCAGGGGAGUUUGUGUUAUGGUGGAGGGGAUUGUCUGUAUUUGAAUGGCACAUUGUGCCUUUAACAAUAGUAUUUUAGUUUUCAUCAGCAGCAUCCUUCUGUUGUUAAACAUUACAGGCUAACUAAGCCUGUGGCACACAUAUUUCAGCUUCUCUCUGCUUGUUAUCUCGGGACUGUUGAUCUCAGACAGAUAAUUAGCCUGCAGACUUUUCUCUUUCCUGAUCAUAUUGCACCAUCUUGUGGUAGACAAGAUUGCAGAAAGGCGUGUUAAAAAAGGAAAUCUAUGAUGUUCACUAAACCAGUUCAUUAAUGCCUGUUUUUAUUGUACAAUUAGUUAUUCAUUAAUGAAAUGUUUUAUUACUACUUCUGGGACACUUGUGGUCCCCCAUAGUGAAAGUGUGUUUUCCUGACAUCUCCAUCUACCUUUAUAGGACAUUCUGAGUUAAUAAUAUACUGAAUAUUCAACAUUGAUGGAACAGUUGUGCAACAAGACUGAAUAAAAGAAGAAGUCAGGUCUCCACACAGCACACAUUUGGGGUAACAACUAUCCAGUAGGACAAUUCAUCAGACACUUGUGCACAGAGACGUGACGUGUUGUGAAAACAUGAAGACUGUGAUUCUUGCUCUUCUGGUGUUGCUGGUCAUCAGUCAGGGUGAAGCCUUGAGGUGUUUCUGUGGAGGUGUGGCUAAG